UAUCUUCUAACUGAAAGUUUUUCUAAAGAGUACUUUCAAGAAGUAAUCGUGCAUUCUUAUGAAAGAUGCGUACGCUACGUACGUAUCAACUACCAUGACAACUCAGGUAUUAAUUUUAAACAAGUUUUCAAUAAUGAAUUUUACGAUCUACAUAGUUUGUGCCGCCUAUUUCUCUUUUUCCAACACCUAACGUGCAACGGCACGCUUUCGUGGCUCCCUCUGACGAGAAAUCGAUCUGCCGGAUUCCCAAUUGAAAAAAGCUCUUCCUUUCACUAUCAAAGAAAGUCAAUACACGCAUAGAAAGAUCCUCCUACCGACGAUCUUUCCCUCGAUUCAUACGGGCGUUCCCUGUAAUUCUCUGGUUAGCCGAUUGGACGACUUUCUCUCUCCUUUCUUCUGUCAGAAUUUUCCGAGCAACCUAAGAUAUACCAUAAGAUGUAGGAUUAAUUCGAAAGAUUAUCAAUCGACGAGGUCAGACACAAACGCUGGAGUUGGAAACGAGGUCGUGCCACCUUUCUCUCAUUUGGAGAGAAGUGGCCGCUUCUGCGAAGGUGCGGUCGAUGGAUUGAUCUCGAAGAGAGCACAUUAGGAACACAGCUUCUUUCCCUACGAAAUGUAUUGAGAAAGGGAGCAAAUCUAAGUUUGUUUGAGGAUUAAGU
rnacentral:misc_RNA from 1 species